AGGGUGUAAACGCUGCAGACUUGGUGUUGGAGGCCCUUUGGGGGCAUUCAGUGCCGGAGAGAAGUUGUUAAGUCUGCUACUUGGGGAGUACGUCCGCAAGGAUGAAACUUAAAGGAAUUGGCGGGGGAGCACCGGCAACGGGAGGAGCGUGCGGUUUAAUUGGAUUCAACACCGGAAAACUCACCAGGGGAGACUGUUACAUGAAACCCAGACUAAUGAUCUUGGUUGAUUUUCAGAGAGGUGGUGCAUGGCGUCAGUGACU
rnacentral:rRNA from 1 species